GAUCUCUGGUAGUAAGUUCCGAGGGUUUGAACACCGCAUUCGGCCUACACUAAGAUGUUCUCAUUUUCACCGAUAACGAUCAUUAGUUCACUGCCACGCACUUCGUCCGAGGGGAUUCCAUUUCUCAGGAACUAAAACUUAUUUUCCUUAUUAUUGCACUGUAACAGUAAAAAUUCUCAAUUUUUGCCCGAUUUUGGUAACUUUGUUUAAAAAAUCCCCUUUAACGCAGUUUUUUGGGGAAAAAAGAAUUUUUAGAAUUAAUGAUAUCUGCCUCAGAAUCAUUCCGGCGGGAUUGAUAGUUGGACGAUAAUCUUAUGUUUAUUUUUAUCUGAAGAAUCAAGGAAUAACCUGGAACAAAAAAGAAACAAAACGUCAGCAGAAUUUAAUCAUCACAAUUCUGUAAAAAAUUUCCCGUAUCGUGCGUUCAAAGUCAACACGUUUACAGACGUAAAUUAACAAUCAAAUUUUUCUCGUACACAGUUUGAAUGAUCAAUUGAUCAAACUUCUUAUCAAACAGCGGCAAACAACUGAUAAGAUCGAUGAGCCUUUCCUAUACGAUCUGUUCCUAGUUAGUGUAGUUAUUCACCACUGAGCAAGUCCAAGUUUUGUGAUUCUGAGGAGAAAAUGCAAUCGUGGGUGGUGACUCUUUUUCUUGUGGCAAUGGUCCAAGCCGGACCUUUGGGGUCUAUACAUCUGGAAAGUCAAGUAAAAAUCGAGAGACCUCAGAUAGGAAGACAACCGCUGAAGAUGGUCGAUUUUGAGAAAGUGGAUAAAACUGAUGACGUGGACCUCCUCAUCAAGUGUCACAAGGAGUAUAUUCAAACUUGCUGUGAGGGAGAUCACUAUAAGGUACCAAUGCAUAUCCACACCGAAAAAGGCGUUGAAAAGUGUUCGGCUUAUGCUGAAUGUUGCAAGCUGUAGGUGAAGUGAAAUGUCAAAUAUUAUCAUUCAAAACCGAACUGUACCAGGAAAUGAUAAUUUGAUCACAUGAAACCUACAAUCGAUUGAGCCAUUAAUGUUAUAUUUUGUUUUAGUCAGAUUUCUUAGCUAUGUGUAAAUAAAAAGAUAUUCCAAAAUUAUAUAUAAGUUCCAGAAGCAAUAUCCAGAUCUUGAAACUCCCCACAUUGAGGAUGAUGAAAAAUUAAGGGAGACUUUUGCCCCAUGUAGUACCGCAUUUGCUUAGCAUGACAAAGACGGAGAGGAAAAAGACGGAAUAAAGGUAGGUGCAGAGGGAGAAUCGGAAGAAAAAGAAGAUGGCGGAUGAGAAGAGCAAUAAUAAGAAGAGUAAGAAUUAAUAACCUAAAUAAAAAAAACUGAAAAACUCAAAAUAAUUACCGUAUUUAAAGCUGUAAAUUGAGGACAAUGAAAAUGAAGAGGGCUUACAUCGUGGCAACAACGCACGCACCUCGUCGCAUUCCCCCGUUAAUUUGUUCGGGAAAAAAGUGUUGAGGAGGUGAUAAUGGAGAGGCGGACCAGGCAGAGUUUGCAGGGCAUUUGCAUGCGCGGGAAAAAGGAGGUCGAGUUUGAGUUUUCACGGCGGAAACGGGCGGCGAGACGCGGAGCGAGGGAGGGGGGGAGAAGAUUGAUUGAUUUAUCUUUUAAAUUGAGACCUACUCGCGGAAUGAAACACCUCUACUCUUCCUCGAGGCGAUUAGCGCCAGUCUCAGAGAGCAGGAAAUUGUUUUUAUGAGAUCAGGAGAAUAUCCGAACGGGUUUGUAAUUAGUGUUCCGAUGUUUUGGUUUGAAGGUCCGGAAUGGGUUUUUGUUGAGACCAAGAAAAACUUCUGACUGUCAUACCGAUGGGACAGAGUGCCUUUGUAGACCGAGUAUGACUAUUCCUAGCUUUUAGUGAGGGAAAGUUGUGCUGCUUUGUGACAGGGUGGAAAAAUUUCAUGAAAAAUAAAUCUUGACAAUUCACGUGAAAUAUUUCAUGAAAUAAAAUCUUGAAAUUUCACGUGAAAUAUUCCAUGAAAUAUCAGAACUUUACGGAAGAUAUUGAAAAAUACCGGUUUCUUUUCAGGUUUCGCAAAAUGUAAAAUUUGGGACUUUCUUCUAUUUUUGUGUGUUUUAGUGCGGGUUGCAUAGUCUAGCCCCUGGAAAAUAUGAAAUAUAUCACAGCCUCGAGAAAUUUCAUAGAAUAAUUCACUGAGAUUUCCAAUCUUUCAGUUCUUUCUUACGUUUCAUGCCACCCGUUUCACCCUGCUUUGUGACUUGUUUAAUGUUUACAAGCCUUAAGCUAUAAUAAUGCUCUUGGGGCCGUAAAUAAACAAACACUCCUGUUAAUCGAUAUUAACCGGAAUAAAAGGGAUAUCGAUCUCUGUUUAUAAUGAUCUUCUAAUUAUCGUCCGAUAUAAAACAGGAUAGACAGGAAUAAAACGGGAUGUAUUGAUAUUAACCAGGAUAAAAGGGAGGAUAUAGAUCUUUGUUUGUCAAUUUUCGAUAGAUCGUUCAACAUAAAACAGGAUAGACAGCGAUAAACCGGGAUAUAUUUUCACUAACCGGAAUAAAAGGGAGGAUAUCCAUCUCUGUUUAUGAUCUUCUAUUUAUCGUUCGAUAUAAACAGGAUAGACAGGGAUAAAAGGGAUGUAUUUUUAUUGACCGGGAUAAAAGGGAGGAUAUAUCGAUCUCGCUCUAAUAAUCGUCCGAUAUUAAACAGGAUAGACAGGGAUAAAACGGGAUGAAUUGAUAUUAACCGGGAUAAGAGGGAGGAUACAUACAUAUCUUUGUUCAUCGAUCUUCGAUAAAUCGUUCGAUAUAAUUUUCUAAAAAAAGGAGGAGAA
rnacentral:lncRNA from 1 species